rnacentral:tRNA from 1 species
GCCGACUUAGCUCAGCAGGCAGAGCAACUGACUUGUAAUCAGUAGGUCACCAAUUCGAUUCCGGUAGUCGGCACCA